UAAAAACACAGCACUCUGCAAACACGAAAGUGGACGUAUAGGGUGUGACGCCUGCCCGGUGCUGGAAGAUUAAAUGAUGGGGUGCAAGCUCUUGAUUGAAGUCCCAGUAAACGGCGGCCGUAACUAUAACGGUCCUAAGGUAGCGAAAUUCCUUGUCGGGUAAGUUCCGACCCGCACGAAUGGCGUAACGAUGGCCACACUGUCUCCUCCAGAGACUCAGCGAAGUUGAAAUGUUUGUGAAGAUGCAAUCUCCCCGCGGCUAGACGGAAAGACCCCAUGCACCUUUACUGCAGCUUUGUAUUGGACUUUGACCAUAUCUGUGUAGGAUAGGUGGGAGGCUUUGAAGUUGUGACGCUAGUCACGAUGGAGCCGACGUUGAAAUACCACCCUGAUAUGUUUGAGGUUCUAACCUAGGUAUAACAGUACCGGGGACAGUACAUGGUAGGCAGUUUGACUGGGGCGGUCUCCUCCCAAAGAGUAACGGAGGAGUACGAAGGUAACCUAGAUACGGACGGAAAUCGUAUUGAUAGUGCAAUGGCAAAAGGUUGCUUGACUGCGAGACUGACAAGUCGAGCAGGUGCGAAAGCAGGUCAUAGUGAUCCGGUGGUUCUGAAUGGAAGGGCCAUCGCUCAACGGAUAAAAGGUACGCUGGGGAUAACAGGCUGAUACCGCCCAAGAGUUCACAUCGACGGCGGUGUUUGGCACCUCGAUGUCGGCUCAUCUCAUCCUGGGGCUGAAGUCGGUCCCAAGGGUAUGGCUGUUCGCCAUUUAAAGAGGUACGUGAGCUGGGUUUAAAACGUCGUGAGACAGUUUGGUCCCUAUCUGCCGUGGGCGUUGGAGAUUUGAGGGGGGCUGCUCCUAGUACGAGAGGACCGGAGUGGACAGACCUCUGGUGUACCGGUUGUCACGCCAGUGGCAUUGCCGGGUAGCUAAGUCUGGAAAAGAUAACCGCUGAAAGCAUCUAAGUGGGAAACUUGCCUCGAGAUAAGAUCUCCCUGAGUAUUAAAUACUCCAUAAGGGUCGUUGGAGACUACAACGUUGAUAGGUCAGGUGUGGAAGCGCAGUAAUGUGUUAAGCUAACUGAUACUAAUUGCCCGUGAGGCUUGACUCU
rnacentral:rRNA from 1 species